GAUGAACGCUGGCGGCGUGCCUAACACAUGCAAGUCGAACGGACUCAUAUUGAAACCUAGUGAUUUAUGAGUUAGUGGCGGACGGGUGAGUAACGCGUGGAAAACCUGCCGUAUACCGGGGGAUAACACUUAGAAAUAGGUGCUAAUACCGCAUAAGCGCACAGCUUCGCAUGAAGCAGUGUGAAAAACUCCGGUGGUAUACGAUGGUUCCGCGUCUGAUUAGCUAGUUGGCGGGGUAACGGCCCACCAAGGCAGCGAUCAGUAGCCGGCCUGAGAGGAAGGUCCCCCACAUUGGAACUGAGACACGGUCCAA
rnacentral:rRNA from 1 species